rnacentral:misc_RNA from 1 species
AGAGAGUGAAGAAAGUUGCCAUGUACAAACCUCGCUGAUAGGUCGGAAAGAUUGAAGGUUGCAGAGAGGGAUGGGAAAUCGGAAACAGAAAUGGACUUCGGAGGAAGAAGAAGCGCUAAGAGCAGGAGUAGCCAAACACGGCACUGGCAAGUGGAAAAACAUUCAGCAAGAUCCCGAAUUUAAUCCCUUCCUUUUUACCCGUACCAACAUCGAUCUUAAGGAUAAAUGGCGAAAUAUGAGNNNNNNNNNNGCCAAGGCCAGAGGGAAAAAUCACGGACACCAAAACCAAAAGUGAAAUCUGAUGAUCCUGCUACUGCUGCCUCUCCAAUUCCACUUUCCAAUCUACAAACUUCAGCCUCUGUUCCUCCAAUUAAUUCAGAUCUAGUCGUCGAUGAUUCUUCAAAAGGAAUAGUGGAUGGAAAAGGUGCUUCAAAGUAUAAUGCAAUGAUUUUUGAAGCAAUUUCAGCCUUGAAUAAGCAAAGUGGAGCAGACACCAGUGCAAUUGUUAGCUACAUCGAGCAAAGGCAAGAGGUAACAC